CUCACUGGACACAGUGGUGAGCGUGCUGCGCUCGUGGGACCUGAGCCUCACGGAGGCUCCAGAACAUGGAGGCCGAGCAGCAGCGCCGGGCCCAGGAGGCCCAAGGAGGCCGAGGCUGAGCGCUGUGGCAGUAUGACCCUCAAGGUCCAACAGCUGGCCAGGGAGCAGCAGCAGUGUCACAAGGAGCCUUGCCAGGGCCUGCCCGUACGCCCACCCAGCUGCAACAGGCCUACUGUGAGCUGAGCCGGAGGGUCUCAGAGCACGACCAGUGUGAGUGGAGGUGCAUGGACAAGACCAAGCUCACGCUGCAGGCCAUCAAGGACACAGAGGCCCAGGUGGACAGGCUGCGGCAGGAGGCCCAGAAGGCCGAGGCGCUGGCUAUGGCCAGGCUGGAGCUUCGGGAGCAGACGCAGGAGGGUGGGCCUGGCAUGGGGCGCCGGCUGGGGGCUGGGACAUAAAGCCCAGGGUGGGGUCCGGCGUCGGGCUUGCGUGUCAGCUGCACUCUGCUACCCCGACAGGAGGAAGAGGCGCCCGGGCUGAAGUGCCAGGUCACCGAGCUGCACGAUGUGCUGAUGAAAGAUGUAGGCAACCGCAUCCGUGCCGACGGCCGGUCAGUUCUCCGGGCCAGACGUGGGUGAUUUGGGGUUUGGACAGACAGCAGUGACCUGAUGGGUGUCCCCA
rnacentral:sRNA from 1 species